rnacentral:rRNA from 1 species
UACGUAGGGGGCAAGCGUUGUCCGGAUUUAUUGGGCGUAAAGAGCGUGUAGGCGGCCAGGUAGGUCUGCUGUGAAAACUCGAGGCUUAACCUCGAGCUGUCGGCGGAAACCAUCUGGCUAGAGUCCGGAAGAGGAGAAUGGAAUUCCGGGUGUAGCGGUGGAAUGCGUAGAGAUCCGGAAGAACACCGGUGGCGAAGGCGGCCUGCUGGGACAUUGCUGACGCUGAGGCGCGACAGCGUGGGGAGCAAACAGG